rnacentral:rRNA from 1 species
CCUACGGGGCGCUGCAGUGGGGAAUAUUGCACAAUGGGGGAAACCCUGAUGUAGCGACGCCGCGUGAGUGAAGAAGCGCCUCGGCGCGUAAAGCUCUGUCAGCAGGAACGAUAAUGACGGUACCUGAAGAAGAAGCCCCGGCUAACUACGUGCCAGCAGCCGCGGUAAUACGUAGGGGACAAGCGUUAUCCGGAUUUAUUGGGUUUAAAGGGUGCGUAGGCGGUCCGGAAAGUCAGCGGUAAAAGCCCGGGGCUCAACCCGGGCCUUGCAGCGCGAACUGGCGUGCUUGAGUCCGCGGAAAGCAGGCGGAAUUCGUCGUGUAGCGGUGAAAUGCUUAGAUAUGACGAAGAACCCCGAUUGCGAAGGCAGCUUGCUGCAGCGGAACUGACGCUGAUGCUCGAAAGCGCGGGUAUCGAACAGGAUUAGAUACCCUUGUAGUC